ensembl:lncRNA
GAAGAUAGAGUUUGAGGAGUCAUCCCAAUAUGGAUAGCAUUUGUUGUAAAUUAGAAGGUGGUAAAAACUUGCCUUUGGAAAAAAGUUUAAAAAUUGCAGUGAGACUUAUGAAUACUCUUCAACUUCACCUGUUGGAAUAAAGGUCUUUCUUGUAAUCAGGAGAUCCUGUUGACAUGGCCUGUGUAUGGUUAAUUUCCAUGAAUAUUGGUGGAUAGUACUGUGAGAUAUUCAGCAUUUGUCCAGAUAAAACAGAAAGAGUCAAAGAGGAUCAGAAAUAAAUGAAAUCUCUGACAACUAAACUGCUUAUGUGUUUAUCCUGUUGACUGAUUCUUUUCUGGAUUGUGCUCCUUGUGGGCAGGAAAAGGAGAAGAAAGAAUGAUGGCAUGGGGGUCACAGACGGUUAUGCUGGCUUAUUCCUCUCAGACUGUUUUCAUGCUCAGAAGUGAGGGAGCAUCUUUAAGCAUCCAAACAAAUCCAAAGUACAUCUAUCCUUCAGGACGUGUGGUGUCUGCUUGGCAAGCUAAGUCAUCAUCUUUGAUUGACAGUGAAUCCAUUUCCUAAAGAAAAAGCAGCUCUGGGCACCAAGACCCAACACCGCCUGGGAUCUAAUGAGCAAGGCUAAGGAGCAAACCCAGGAAGUCCACUGCAGCCUUGAGCUGAGUUCUUGCACCUUAGUACUCAGGACUCUAACCACCAGGUUACUACCUUUAGCCGUUUGCACAUAGUUUGCUGCUGACGUGGAGCAACACCUCUAAUGAAGAGUGUCAAGAACUGGGCACCGCCUGGUUCUUUCAGCAUGCCCAUAGUUAGUGACAAUGGUCACUUAUUUUCCUCCUGGGCCUAGGACUCUCUCAUGUAGACUGUGUGGCUGAAAAGAAGUUAAAUGAAGGACUGUGAAGAGUAGAGCUCUGAAAUGAAACCUCAGGGAUCUGCUUACACUCUCAGCCCACCUUCCAAGUUCCCCCCUCCCAUUUUCACCUGUUCUUUCAUCUGUGAUGGCUACCUUGAAAGUAAGGGUUAAUGUUUCAUCUCCCUCUCAAUCUCCCAACUCUUAACACUGUGCUAUGCACAGAGGAAGUGCUCCAUAAAAGCUGGGCAAAAUUAAAUGCAUAGAAUCAAGGAGUAUCUUAGAUUUAUAAACUAGCAGGUAUGGCCAUUCUAUCUGGGUUCUCAGAAAUCCCAGAUCUUAUCUUGUCACUCUUCUCACUAAAAAUCUCAUUUUUCCUUUGUCUUCAUUUUAAUACUCUAAGCUUCUUGACUUGAUAAUCAAUCCACACACAUUCUUGCCCCAAUUUGCUUGUCCGGGUGUCUUAGUUAUCGUAACUCAGGUUAUCGUUAACAAAAUACCAUUGACUAGGUGGCUUAAACAACAAAAGUUUAUUUCUUUCAGUUCUAGAGGCUAGAAAGUCCAAGCUCAAGGCAGUACAAGGUAGGUUUCAGUCUGCAGCCUCUUCUCUUGCCUCAUGGGUGGCUGCCAUCUCACUGUGUACUCACAUGAUCUCUUCUUUGUUUGCAUGCAGAGAAAGAGAGAGAGAGAGAGAGACAGUACUUUAGUGUGUCUUCUCAUAAGGGUGCUAUUCCCAUGUGAGCGCCCCACCCUCAUGAUCUCAUUUAACCUUAAUUACCUCCCAAAGCAACAUUUCCAAAUACUAUCACAUUAGGGGUGGGGUAGGGCUUCAAUAUAUGAAUUUUGACAGGACAAAAACAUUCUGUGCAAGACAUCAGGCACAUAGGCUAACAACAUCAUUCGUCUCCACCAUCCUCUUUACUUUAUUAUGCCCAUGCCUUUGUGAAGCCAGUCCAUCUCCGGAGAGCAAUUACUUCAGUCUGCCCAGCAACGACAAGGACAUGAAGUGCUUGAGGUUGGAGAACACAUCAGAUAUGCAGAAGCCAAGAAGUCAGGGCCUUGCAGAGGGACUCACAGACAGAGACCAGUUUGAGCCUGUAAGGAUGUGUUUUCAGUUCCCUCAUGCUGUUUAGGAAAAAGUCGCAGAUGUAGAGAAAGAGCUGGUUCUGCCCUCAGGCUGUGAUAAUUAAUGUCCUGUCUACUAAUGCAAAAUGAGGUCUUGGCCAGCCUUUCCUCUCAGGAAGCUUACUUGGCAGCCUUCCAAGCCUCUUGUAGUGUCUCCAAACUGAGGUCCACACAGUCCUGUAAUUGAGGGCAAAUGAUGCAAGGCAGGCUUGUACCUGAUGGCUAUUUGCAGGACGCCCACUCUUAGAUCAUGAAGGGCUUUGUCUUUCUCUUUAAUAUCAAGUUGCAGUGCAACAAGCACAGACAUUGAACUCAGACAGACUGUUCAACCCCCCAGCUCCAGCAAUCAAAAGCUGUGCAAUAUUUGACAAAUAAAUUUAUCCCUAUAUGUCUCUGUACUAUUUUCUGCAAAAACAGGUAAAUAAUAUCUAACAAAUGAAAUAAUUUGUUUUAAACACUUAGUCUGUAGCAGCACAUCCAUGGCACACACACACAAAAAUUGUUGGGAAACUUUUAAUACCUUCUUUUCUCCAUUCUCACUUUGUCUUGUGAGAAAGUAGGUGUAUAAUAAAUAUUUGUUGAAUAAGGAGCAAUGGAAUUGGGGUUGGGGAUAGGACUAUAACAAGAACUGGUUUGGGGCCGGCUCCCUGGCCGAGUGGUUAAGUUCACGUGCUCCGCUGUGGCGGCCCAGAGUUCGGAUCCUGGGCGCGGACAUGGCACCGCUCAUCAGGCCACGUUGAGGUGGCGUCCCACAUCCCACAACUAGAAGGACCUGCAGCUAAGAUAUACAACUGUGUACGGGGGAGUUUGGGGAGAUAAAGCAGGAAAAAAAAAAAAAAAAGAUUGGCAUCAGUUGUUAG